GCGUCGGUCGCAUAAUGGUAGUGCACUUGACUGUAAAUCAAGCAGCCUAUGGCUAUCGCUGGUUCGAUUCCAGCCCGGCGCACCA
rnacentral:tRNA from 1 species